rnacentral:tRNA from 12 species
GGGCGCGUAGCUCAGUGGUAGAGCACACCCUUCACACGGGUGGGGUCGCUGGUUCAAUCCCAGCCGCGCCCA